AACGCGAAGAACCUUACCUAAGCUUGACAUCCUUUUGACCUCUCCCUAAUCGGAGAUUUCCCUUCGGGGACAAAAGUGACAGGUGGUGCAUGGUUGUCGUCAGCUCGUGUCGUGAGAUGUUGGGUUAAGUCCCGCAACGAGCGCAACCCUUGUCUUUAGUUGCCAUCAUUAAGUUGGGCACUCUAGAGAGACUGCCGAGGAUAACUCGGAGGAAGGUGGGGAUGACGUCAAAUCAUCAUGCCCCUUAUGCUUAGGGCUACACACGUGCUACAAUGGGUGGUACAGAGGGCAGCCAAGUCGUGAGGCGGAGCUAAUCCCUUAAAGCCAUUCUCAGUUCGGAUUGUAGGCUGAAACUCGCCUACAUGAAGCUGGAGUUACUAGUAAUCGCAGAUCAGAAUGCUGCGGUGAAUGCGUUCCCGGGUCUUGUACACACCG
rnacentral:rRNA from 1 species